CAGCAGCCGCGGUAAUACGUAGGUGGCAAGCGUUGUCCGGAAUUAUUGGGCGUAAAGGGCUCGCAGGCGGUUUCUUAAGUCUGAUGUGAAAGCCCCCGGCUCAACCGGGGAGGGUCAUUGGAAACUGGGAAACUUGAGUGCAGAAGAGGAGAGUGGAAUCCCACGUGUAGCGGUGAAAUGCGUAGAGAUGUGGAGGAACACCAGUGGCGAAGGCGACUCUCUGGUCUGUAACUGACGCUGAGGAGCGAAAGCGUGGGGAGCGAACAGGAUUAGAUACCCCAGUAGUCCCUGUCUCUUAUAC
rnacentral:rRNA from 1 species